rnacentral:rRNA from 1 species
AUCCUUUCGUACUAAGCUAAUAAGAUAAAACCAGAAGAUAGAAACCAACCUGGCUUACGCCGGUCUGAACUCAGAUCAUGUAAAAUAUUACGGGUCGAACAGACCCUAAAAUGAAGCUACUGCACCACAUCUAAAUUUUAGUCCAACAUCGAGGUCGCAAACCUUUUUGUCGAUUAGAACUCUCAAAAAAGAUUACGCUGUUAUCCCUAAGGUAAUUUUUCUUAUUUCCUUUUUAAAGGAUCAAAUUAUUCCGUAAUAAAAGUUUAUAAAAAAAAGAGUUUUUUAUAUCUUAAUAUCGCCCCAACAAAUUACAGACUAAAAUCAAAUUGCAAAAUCUAAUACAAAAUGAAAAUUACUGUAUAAAACUCUAUAGGGUCUUCUCGUCUUCCAGGACAUUUCAGUUUUCACUGAAAAAUAAAUUCUACAAUUAUAAUAAAAAGUAAUUUCUCGUUUAGCCAUUCAUACCAGUCUCCAAUU